GCCGAAGUGGUGGAAUUGGCAGACACGCCAGCUUGAGGUGCUGGUGCGGGUAAUUCCGCGUGUCGGUUCAAGUCCGGCCUUCGGCA
rnacentral:tRNA from 1 species